rnacentral:lncRNA from 1 species
AUUAAUUUACAAACCAAAGGCCCAUAUAUACAUAAACAAAACAAACAGAGGCCACCCAAGCUAACCUAAAAGAGCCCAACCAAGGGAGAAAGUAGUAAUCAUUGUGUAAUCCAGAAGAUGAAAAUACGGAGAAUCUGUAUAUCAUGGUUAAAUAUGAGAAAUAAGUUUUGACAUUCCAAAAGAUGGCUGCAUAUUCAUUUCGGAACUUCACAGCCUUUCUUCUUAGUUAAAUGAAUUAACCAAGAUUGGUUUUUUCUUUAUUAUUUGGUCCAUUUGGUAAUUGUUGAGUGACUAAGUAUUACUUACCAAUUGCAAUGGAUCAUUGCGCUUUCAAUUACUGGAGGUCUGAAUGCUGUUGUGAUGUGCCGAUAUCUCUAUAAUCAUCAGGUAAGAUUGUUUUUCAUGAAAUUAAUGCUUUUUAAGAAAGCUUUAAUUUUGGUAUAAAAAAAAUGAAUAAAUUCACUGAUGAAUUGUUUUUGCAGAAUGAAGAUGGGGAAUGGGCUCUCUGCAUAUGGAGGGCCAAGUACCAUGUUUGUAAAAUUAUUUGGUUCUUUGUUGAACACAAUUUUAAAAUCCAAGGAAAGAAACACUGUUCAUUAUCAGUGCACGAGCGGAAAUACCCUUUGCUUCCUUUGUGUUCUGAUUCUUUCUGACCAUUUUACCCUUUCACUAACAGUGCACGGGCGGUGCUGUUUUGCUUUGUGUCUCUUUCUCUUCUCAUUUUCAUUGCUUUUCUUUGGCCACGCGUCCACCAUUCUCUUGCCACGUGUCGAUCAUCCUGUAAUGGUUCGCUUCGGAUCUCUGGAAUUUUCUUUCGGUUUCCAUUUCCUUGGUUCGAUUAUACUUCUUGGUUUUAUUUCGGUUUCUGCUCCUCUUUGGCAAAACUUUCUGCUUCUCUAUGGUUCCUGGUGAGAUUUACCACUUUCUUGAUUUUAUUCUUAUGUUAUUUUUGGGUUUUGUUUAUAGCCUCCGAUUCUACAUGUGGCUAUUUAAUUUUGUUUAGUUUUCAGUGUCAGGGCACUGUAGCUUAUUGUUUUUCUUGAGCUUUCUUUUCAGCGUUUGAAGGCUUCUGUGCUGAGGCUCAAUGAUAACAGUGGUGAGUUUCUUUUGCAGAGACUCGUUCUUCCCAGUAAUCAAGCUUUAUUGAGUGAUUUAUCUGCUUAAUUUGGGGUUGGGGUUGGUUUUUUUCUGUCUCACCAAGCACUUAAUUUCCUCCGCUUCAUGCAUACUGCAAAGUCCCCACGAAUUUGUUGUUGACCCAUCUGGGUUGAUCAUGUCUUCACUGGUCAUGAUUGCAGUUUUGUCAAGGAUUCUGAAAUUUAGUAAAUUGCAACUUUUUGGUGAGCGAAACAUAUGUCAAUUAUUUAGGUCUGUUAGGGUUUUUGGGCUGGUUUUUUUAUUGCCGAGUUUUAUACAACAUAGAUAGUGAAGCUAGAGGUAAUUGAGGAAUAUUUUGUGGUGUGGUAGAUAUUUCUCAGCAAAAUUGAGAGAGUAGUUAUAUUUUAUUUAAAUAUUUGUAUAGUUUUUGGAAGAGGUUAAGUCUAUGGUACUCAAGAUCUUCAGAGACCGAUGAGAAUUACCAAUCUGCUACUACUCUAAACCUUCUCAGGGUGUUCGUCACCGAAGUUACGCAGCUAUGCCGAGGGUCACGUAGUGGAACUUGAUUUCACAGAUCACAGUGAACAGGGUGAUAGGUAUAUUUCCUCACUUUUACCAUUUUUAGAACUUAGAUUAGUGAUAAAUUAAUUCGAAUCAUGUGGCAUGAACUUAAAGCUCUGUUUGGGAAAGUGGGCUCUUUACCCUAAAGUUGCUUGCUUUUGGUAAUAUUUGGAAUUGUGCUUCUAAGCUGUUUUUCAAGCUUUUGGCCAUACUAAAUGGAGCUAAAUUGAACAACUCUUUUGUUGUAUUGUAUUUUCUUUCCUAAAUCGAUUGUUUUUUUGUUGAAAAAUGUGAAUGGGUUUUGUAGAUCAAAGUUUUUAAGGGCGAAAAUUAUGUUUCAAAUUUUAGAUAUGAAUAUUACACAUUCUAGGUGUUGAAUUCAUAUUUGUUUUGGUGUAUUGUGUUUUUGAAUGUCAUUUAGUGCAGUAUAGCCUUAACUUAAAUGUAGUUUUGUGUAUCUUAAGUACUCAUUUGGAUUUUGAGAAGUAAGAGAGAGUUUUGCACGUAUUUGAGGAAGCUCCUAUAAGUUUUUGGUUUUUUGUGUUGUGAUUCGAACAAAUUUCGGUUUUUAUAUUUAUUAAUUUUUGUUGUGUGAGUAGUAUUUAUUAGGCUUGAUGUUUUUGAAACACCAGGUGGUUUGGAGACGUUUGAAAUCAUAAGAAGACUCAAAGAUUUCAGCUAGGUUUGAAUCAAAGCACCAAAUGAAUUCUUCUUCCAGGUGAUGAUUAAAUGUUCCCAACUUUUUUAGUUGUAUAAAGACUUGGGUAGAUAGGAAUUUGUUUUUACUCAUGUGUUUCACUAAUUCUUUGGUAAUAGAUAAAUCUUUGUGAACAGUCUUCUGCUUCUAUCAGUACCCAUGGUAAGUUCUUAUCAAUUUACUUUUAACAGUCAGGUCAUUUGGGACCAAAUGUUCUUUUUCAACUUAUGCUUGGUUUACUCUUCUUUUGCAGCCUAUUUUUUUCACACAUUUAGUCUUCAGUAGAUGGGCUAAGGAAUUCCCACGUGGCAUUGUAUCAAAUUAUCAUUGAUCGAAGGGUAUGGCUUUGUAAGAUCAUCUUCUGUUCACUUUGAUCAAAUUAUUUGUCAACCGUUUUAGUUUUUUAUAAUUAUGAUAUUAUUUCUUAUUUGGCCUUAAGAUUAGUGGACUUAAACUUUGUUUAUUAUCUUUGCAGUAAGAAGAGAUAACAAUAUUAACUUGAUAGUAAAUGGUCCGUUCUUUUUAUUUCUUUUUUUGGUUGCAAUGUCCAUACUUAGUGUAAUUUGUACCUUAAGUUUUACCUUUGUUCCAUAAUAAAUGUGUAAAGAUGACCAUGUUGUACAUUACAUAGUUUGGGAAUUAGACUAAGUAUUUUGAUCAAUCAGAUUAAAUAUAUUUUAGCUUUUCUUACGUCUUAAACUGACACACCCCGUCCCGAAGGAGGGCAUGCUGGCCGUCACGUGAGAGUGACGUAACCAUUUGCACAGUACGGAAGCUUUAAGAUACAAUUUAUAAGUUGAUACACCCGAAGGUGAGUCCUAAUUUUGUCCAAUCUGUCAGAACACCGUCGAAUUCCUCGUAGUCACCACACCUUUGUGAUUCCUGAACCUGGAGGGGCGCAAAACCAAAAUUGAGUGGGUCAGUAAAACAAUUCUUUUUCCAAAUCCAAACAUUUCUCAAAACGUUGUAACCCCUCUCCGUAAAACCUGUAUACUUUCCCAGAAAUGUAAAAUAUAAAUAUACAUAUAUAUUCUCAAGACUUCAAGUCGUUAACUCAACAUUUUCAUAACAAUUAUGCCAUGCCACAUCAUCUCAACAUUUCUCAUAUUAAUUAUGCCAUGCCACAUCAUCUCAACAGUAAUAAGGUAUGAAUGCAUCAACAUAAUCAUAUCAGGUGCAAGAAAGUAAUCAACCGUAGGCCCUCUAAUAGCCCUGUACGGUUGAACCUAGAGCUCAAAAUCUAUCAUUAUCACUCUACCGGAGUCACCUCUGUGACCCGUCCGGCCUUCUGCACGCAAGUUACGCUCUAGUGCUUCUCAUAAAUCAUCUGUGCACAUAAUCUAAGGUCACCCACCAGUCGGAAUCUCACUAAACACUCUCGCGACUGGUCUGUUCGUACCCACUCCGCGUGACUGUACGACUAGCAUCUACUUGGAUCCAAGGCGAGCGUGCGAUGCGGUGAAUACUAUAAGCACUAAACUAUGGUGCAGGAUUUGAGCUCAAUAUACAUCAACAUCAUCAUAACAGAAAUAAAUACUCACAUGUGCGUCCACCGCACCAUUUCAUACAUAUGCAUCAUAAAUCAAUUCUUACAUGUGCGUCCACCGCACCAAUUCAUACAUAUGCAUCAUAAAUCAAUUUCUUACAUGUGCGUCCACCGCACCAAUUCAUACAUAUGCAUCAUAUAUUAAUUCAUGCAUGGCAUUUCAACUCACAUUUCUAUAUACUUUUCAUAUCAAUUCUAUGCAUGGUAUUUCACUUUCCCGUUUUUCCACAUAACUCAUAUGCAUUUCAUUUUUAAACAUAUUUUCAUUUCAAUUCAAUUUCUGGGAAACGUCAAGUAUAUAUAUAUACGGAAAACAAAACUGCCCACUCACCUGGAGUUCGUCCAACAACUCCCUAGCACCACACAUCAAGGCGUCAUGACGAUCGCUGCCUAGAAUAGUAAUCAAAUCCAGGCUCAGAAUUCAUAUCGAUAGAAUACAUAACUUAUAUAAAAUACGUCACUACGUUGAUCGAUCCGGAAGAUCUGCCACUCAGAUUUUAAAUCCAUAACUUCCAGAGGUCCACAUUAUACCUUUAGGACAACAUCCUAAAAUUUCAUUACCAUCCAACGGUCGGAUCUCCGUCAAUUUCCAAAACUAAGUGACGGUUAACAUUUUAUAUUAUGGACUUACAAUUCCAAUUCCGGAAGAUCCGUAACUCGGAUUCCCAAUCCGUAAGUUCCAAUAAUCCUCAAAUAUUACGUAUUACAACGUAUCAAAGUUUGGUGACGAUCCAACGGUCGGAUCAUCAAUUCACAUUUUCACCUAAAUGUGAAAACUAAAAAACGUUAUUUGAACACCUAACCAACAAUCCUCAAUAACUUUCUCAUACGGUGUUCAAUUUAGGUAUAUGAAUAUACCACAGUGAUCUACUCGACGUCACGGACGUCGACAUAUUUUUAAAAUAAUUUUAUUUUUAUUUUUUAUUUUUACUGUAGCACCUUCUUCUUCCUUGGGUCGCCGGACUGGUUUUUCCGGCGGCCGUUUUCCGGGCAGUUUUCAAAUUGCCAUAACUUUGUCAUUUCUCAACGAAAUCAAGUGAUUCAAAAACGAAAGUUGUAGCCCUUGAAGAGACAAAGAGAAUGGUACCUUGCACAACACCUAGUUCGCCGUGGUUUGGCCGGAAACUGCCUCGAAAGCUCCGGCCAAACUUUGAACUUGUCGAUCUCCGUGUUCUUACGUCCAAAAACUUCCAACAAAGCACUCCGAGCUUCCUUGGGACCUUACUAAACUCGCUGUGAUCUUGUUUUAGCCUAAAACGUAACCAAUUCAAAGCUCAUGAACAGUACACUUUCAUGGGGAGUUUAGAAUCUAGGUUUUCCGAAGUAAAACUUACCUGAAAUGGAUACCAACGUGAUCGUGAAGUCCUCAGGAUUCCAAUGGUGGUCUCAAACUUGACGUUGGUAUAGAUUUAGGGUGGUUUUGGUGGUGGUCCGAGUGAGUUCGAAGGAGAGAGACAGAGAGAGUGAGAAAUCGUGAAGGAGGAGAGAGAAAGACAGUGAACGGGAAAUGAGGAGGGUUUUGAGGGAUGUGGGGAUCCCACGUGGUCCUUAUUCCAAUCUCCAAACACCAAACUUUAACAUUUUAACCUAAAAAUCUAAAUUCCAUUUUAUUUUCAAACUUAGGAACCUAGAUAAUUAGCAACCUGAGCUUCACAAAUUUAGUAUUUCUUAAGGGCAAUUUCGUCCAUUCACAGCCACGAAUAUAAUAAUUUGGAACGGGCUGUGACAUAAACUGUCAAGAUAUAAACUUACGGGUCGUUUACAUAAAAUUCACAAAUCAUGACGUCAAUUGCAAGUUAGCAUAUGAUCACGUGAUGCAUAGAGGAACUAAGAAUUAAUGGACAAUUUUAUGUAUUGGUGCUUAAAUUUCCAAGAAGACGAUGAGCUCCAUUUUCUUUUAAAUCUAGAUCAAAGCUAGAUUAACCUCUCAUAUGGUACGUAAAUUCAAUUUGCAAAGAAAGCAAUCAAUGCUUCUUCUUUUGGUUUUUUGUUUUUUUUGUUUUUGUUUUUUUUUAACAAUAAUACUAGAACAAGAAUAACAGGUUUAAUCCUUUGAAUGUCAUUAAAAUUUUAUCUCCGAUAUAAAAAGGUUUUUGCCAAUUGUUAUUUUUGAAGGUUAUGACAAUUUAUGACAUCAUCCGGUGUUACUAUUGGAGAAGAUUGCUGAUCAAAAUAAUAGGUACCUUGCAGUUUUCUUUGAAGUAUCUUAUUAAAUUUAUUUAAAAACUGCAAAAAUUACUCAAUUUCUUUAGCAAGUAUAAAAUCGUUCUUCUUUAACAUUCUUAUUUAUUUGUACUAACAGCUUCUAUUUUUUCAAAUCAUAACAGAGAAGCAUGUACAUCAUCACAAAUAAAACAAAAAAAUUGUGAAGCGACAAUCAAUAAAAUUUUCAGGUACUAAUUAUUAUGUGUAUAAAUACAAUUUUAAAUUAUAAUACACCUAAUAUGAAUGCACAUGUUUUACGUUUUUUAAACCCACAACGUGUGGGCACUAUUACUAGUAUAUACUAAAGCCGAAUGGGAAAAGCACUGUUCCACCGUACAGCUAAGUGGCGAAAUUACCCCUUUUACUGAGCAAAUCUUCUUCUUUACCUCACUUGCACAGUGAAUUGACCAGUUUGCCCAUCUUUGAUAAGCGUUGCCCAGUGAAUACGUGGCUCACUCUCCUCAUUCGUUCUCAUCCUGUUUCUUACUGCACUGCUUCCUCUGCAGUUUGAACCGCUUCCUUUUUGCUUCACUUCUAACCGAAACCAAAAACAGCUCAACCAAAUCAUCUCCUCCCUCGCUCACCGCAUCUCUCUCUCAAGCUCGCAAUCACUGCAAAAAAACUCAAACCAAGAAAUCCAUUUCCACAAUUUCUCUUACAGUCACCGCUUCUCUCUCGCUCACCGCUUCAUCGUCAACAAAUCCCAACCGCAGCCCCACUACAAACCCAUCUGGAUGGAAAACCCAUCGAGAAAUCUUGGUCGUCGGCCUACACCCGGACUGCAACGUCGUUUUGACUCACCCCAGCGUCGGCAAAUUUCGACAUAAAAAGUGAUUCUUUUCAACAUAUUUGUAUAAAUUCGUUCAUGCACUUGAAAUUUUAUGUUUGAUUAGUGUAUGUUUUCAUAAUUAGAUCAUAUCAAGCUCCAUUCAUGCCCACUUCCCGUCUUCUUGAUAAAGUUUGUUUGUUUUUAGUUGAGUGUUUGGAUUAGUUUCUUAGGGUUAGAAUGGAAGAAAAUGAAGAGAACUUGGAGAUGUGAUUGACGGCUUCAAGGCUGUGCAAAAUGCAGCAGCCAUAAGUUCAUUAAGUAAUGGAAAUCUUGUAGGGUAUGGUGCAUUGCCAACAUCCAUACUUCCUUAAGGGAGUGAUUGACAAGAGACUUAAACAACCCUUUCAUCCGUACUACUCUAGAUUAAAUCCUAGCCCUUCAUUUGGGUUUUAAGUGAUGUAAUCUGAAGUGUACACUUGUCACUUACACACACAUACAUUUAAACUAAAAAACUAGCCGUUGGAGGCUAAAACCCUUUCUUCUUUCUUCUUCGAUGCAGACCGAAACCAUGCUCGGGAGCUCCUUGCUGCCUUCGAUCCCUCGACUUCAGAAGCUGUUUAGCUUCCAACACUUCUGUCAAUGGCGACAACAGAGGCUAAGCCUGAAGCCAAAUCAAAACCAAAAGAAAUUGAAGAGAGUUCCGAAACUCUUCUCAAAUGCAAGGUAAUUAAAACUUGAAAAAAAAAAUUAUGAGCACCAAUAACAAAAGAUUAUGACUUUCACAUGUUUAUAACAUCUUCUAAUUCUGUACUAAAAUUGAAAUUGUGAAUCCUUAUAAACAAUCCUCAGGGAAGGCAUCUUCCCGGUAUGCUUCGCCACAAGCAGUUGUAUUGAAGCUGGAAGAUGGGACGGGUCUUCUCUUCCCCUCACAAUCUGAAAAUGCCUAAUAAAGAGUGAACGCUGCCAAUCUUUUGAUAACUAUGAACUUAUGUACAAAAAUUUAGCUUCCAAGCAUCUCUAUCUUUUGUAUUGGUAUAUGGUCCAGCCCAUGAUGAAUGUUCUAGAUUAUUCUAGUAAGCAAGUGAGGUGGCCAGAGCAUGCUAGACAAUUCUAGUAUGUUAUCAAGUUGAUGGAAGAAGCUAGAAAGUACUAGCUUCCUUGGUUGCAAAUGGAAAGAUCCAUGCACAUGUUAAAGAAUUCUAGCAAAGUUCAAGUUGGUGGAAGAGUUUAGAAGAAUUGUGAAGAUUCCACCAACAUACAAGAUUAGUGUGGAUAAUUCUAGUUUAGGAAGGUAGUGGAAUUAUCUAGAUAUCUCUAGCAUGAUGUUUCCAUGCUUCUUCAAGGUUCCAUCCAUGCCUAUAAAAGGAGAAGGCAUCCACACCAUUUGUAUGAACCAACCAAUCAAGAGAGUAGUGAGUAGCAAAUGAUCAAAUCCAAAGCUAGAGUUCCACUCCAAGAGUGAGAGUGUUCCACUACACAUUGUGUGAGUGAAGUUUAGAGUGAUAGAAAGUAUGUGUCAUACUUUCUUGUAUCCAUCAAGCCUUGUUUUUGGUUUGGUAAGACUACUCUUGUUGUACUCAUAUUUUCCAUAUAGUGAAGAUUGAUCCUGGUUUGGUGGACGUAGGCAUAAAUUGUCGAACCACAUAAAAUUUUUGGUGUCCAUUUUCUACUUUACGUUGUGCAUUCUCUAUCUUGUAGUACCGACAUUCCUAACAUUUUGAACAGUGAGCACUUAAACACUCUCAAUCUUUUGAUGGCUAUGAACACUGCCAAUUUCUAUAAAUCUAGGUUCAAUAAUUUAUGUUUUCUGUAUGUAUAUAUUAUCAAAAUAUGUUGAGCACUCGCAGCAACGCGCAGAGCACUUUUGUUAGUGAUUAUUAUGAAACGAAUUAUUGUAGGAGAAGAUAAGAUAAGGCUACAUGAUUUUUGGAGUUUUUUUAUAUUAAUUUGUGAAUUAAAUGAUAAAUUAAGUAAAUGAAAUAUUAAAAAUUAAUAAAAGAAUGUUUGAUCAAAAGCCUAAAAAUCAUAACAAUUAGUAUUACGGUCUACUAGUAUUUCUCGCUAAACUCAUCAUAUCGAUUGGUAAAACAAAAAAAAAUGCCAAAAGCUAUAGACGUUUGAUAUAAAAAAUUCAAAAUUGAACCUACUAUAUCAAAACGCCUCUUAUUAAUUACUUGGAGAGCCGAAGCGUUACAACAACAGAGACUAAUACAAGGAAUCCCUCGGCCACAAGGCUUACAAACAGCUUAAAAGAUGAGAAUACAAACAAUAAGGAGCUCAAAUUCUUAAUUUUUCAUUUCCAACUUUUUUUUUUUUGCUACUCCAACCUGUAGUUCCUCCCGACUUGAUGGUCUCGACAUCCUGAGCAUACAGCAGGCUGAUCCCACACUUUUUCACCGUUGAUGGGACGCUGAAGUGGGCAUACACAGUGUAGAACUCAAAACAGAACUCAGUGACAAGUUUGUAAAAAGAAGUGGAGCGAUUUAAAUUUGCUCCCUCUCCAAGUGCAAACGCACCAUACCACACAAAUAUGGUACCGGAAUGAAAAUAAGUAAACCGUCUCCCAUCUUCAUUAAAAGGAUAAUGGGAAGGAUAAAUGGCUUUAUGGCUUUCACCACUAUUAGUUUUAAAAUUGCACGAGCAUCCAAGCAUCAGAUCUUUAGAAUCAACCUUGCCACGGAGAACAACAGAUAGAGCAAAACCCAAAAAAUCUGUACAAUACCAAUUUCGAGGAAGCUUGAUAGUUAUCGCAGAUCCUUCAUUUUGAUGGCAGAACCAAUUUGGGAUUUCAUUUCCUGGACAUACAGUGCUAACAGAGACGGUGCUACCUAAAGUCCGACAAGUGGUAGGGAUAGAUGAAGUCAUUGCCUGUAACAUCGAUGCAUGGAAAUCAAAUAAAUUAUUCAAUACGUGAAAAAAUUGCAUAAAAGAGAUAUGAAAGUGUGUGCUAGUGCGUGCGUGGGUGAGAGAGAGAGAGAGAGAGACCAUGACAAUUUCUUCUUCUUUAUGUUGCUGAGUUUUCAAUGGCCCAGUUGCCACUCGCAUAAUUCUUAACUGUGUGUCAGCCAUUAUAUUAGUCCUUGCAUUUUCAUCCAAGUUUCGGCAAUCAACAAAGUUAAAACGCCCUCGAAACAAUUCAUAUUUAUCCCAAGCUUGUGUGAGUGAAUUUCUUGAACUUGAAACUGUCUUCAGUGAAGUGCAGCCACUUGCUUCAAGAUAACAUAGCACUGGUAGCUCUGGUAAGAAUUUUAGACUUCUGCAGUUUCCCAGAUUCAGCCACCUAAGCUUGUCAAGAUCUUUAAAAUAAGAAGGAAUUCGAACCAAUCUAAAACAGCCAUAAAGCACUAUAUGCUCAAUUCUUUUACUGCGAGAGAGAUCUGGAACUUCAGUCAGAUGCGUGCAAAAACUUAGUUCAAUCACUUUUAAGUUCCCAAGAUUCUGUAACAAAUUUAAGAAAAAUGGAAAGAAGAACAUUAUUGACUUCGGCCGAAUAGGUUUCCAGAGGCACCAUAGUUUAUACAAAGAACAAAAGUUAGCAUAUAUAUACUUCUAUAAAAAAACAUAUAAACAAGAAGAGGAAGCAUAUAUAUACCUGGUUUUUACUCCAAAGUUUUGCCACAACAAAGCUGCCGGGCAUUCGAAGCUCAACAAGAUUUUGUGGAGAAAAAUUUGAUGGAAGAGAUUUCAACGGGUAUCCCAGCCAGUAAAGAUACCUGAGAGAAUUGGGAAGAGACUGAAGACCUUGAGAAAGGUCCAGAAUGUUGUUGUACCUCUUGCCAAAGCGAGGAACUUUAAAGAAUUUCACCAAUUCUGUACCAAACUGAAUGCUAUAGUUGUACACGACUCUUAGAUGAGGAUCAUGAAUCAUCAACAAUCCUAAAUUAGACAUCUUCUUGAAGGGUGAUCCACAUAAUUCCAACCGUGUAAUGUUAGACGUGUCAAAGGAUAUGCAUUGAACCGUUGAAGUUCCCUGGAAAUCAAGAGAAAAUAGUAUAAUGAGAAUAAAUGUACAACAAAGAUUACGAAAAACUACUUUUGUUGACAAAUGCUUAUACAAAAUGAGUUUCCUUGGUUCCGUCAUAGAAAGUUCAUGAUUUUUGGUUCUCACCGUAUCAUUCUCCAGUACUUGACAGACAUCAUCAGCAGCCCACAACCUAUUACGUUUUCCUGGCUCGUCCCUGCAUUGUUCCUGAACAAUUGUCCGGCCCAUUUCUUGCACCAAAUCAUGCAUCUCUAAGCAAUUCGUCUCUGAAAUUGAUAUGAGAGACUUGUCAAUGAGAAUUUGGAUUCCCGUCACGAAGAAACCCCGAAUAUCUAAUAUACUUUUUGCAUAAUAAACAUCUUCCCCUUUCAGAAAGCAUGCAAUGUCAAGAAAGCAUUCCUUCUCAUUUUCUUCUAAUCCAUCAUAACUAAGUCUCAACACAUUUUGAAUUUUUUCGCUAGGAAAUUUUUUCAAUCUGUUCAAUUCUUCAUCCCAGUCUUCUUCUGUAUCGCAGCGACGGAAUAAGGCACCCAAAGUUUUAAGAGCCAAUGGAAUGCCUUGAAUAUAAUCUAUCACCUUUCUUGAAAACACCGUAUAAACUGUCGUAGGAGACUUAUUUUUCAGAGCAUGCAAAUGAAAGAGCUGAAGAGCGUCACUAUGUUUCAAUCCCUUGACCUCGUAAAUUUUGUCAUCAACCACCGUUUCAUUGAGUACGCUUCUAUCUCGAGUUGUUAUAAUGAUUCUACUUCCGACACCAAACUUAAGAUCAUCUCCAGCUAGAAGUUCUAAUUGCCUUGAAUCAUUCACGUUGUCAAGAACAAUGAGUACCUUUGUACGACUAAGCCUCUCUUUAAGAAGCUCUGAUCCUAUAGAUGGAGUGUCAAUAUUUGUAUUUUCAUCACCUAAAAUCUUAGAGAGAAGUUUAUUUCGUAAGUUAUAUAUUCCGUCUUUUCCUUCGGAAUUUUCUCUAACAUUUUUAAGAAAACAACAAGCUUCAAACUUGGAAGAGAGUCGGUGAUAUACAACAUCAGCAAGGGUGGUCUUGCCAAUACCACCCAUGCCCCAAAUACCUACAAUGCAAACAUCCGAUGAAUCAAGGCAUAGUAACGAUUCAAUUUGCUCAACUUUGGUUUCAAUUUCAACUAGGCCCUUUAAAUUACUUGAGCAAUCCAAUUUGUUCAAUAUAACUUGGACAAGUUUCUCAAUGGAAUCGGCUUCUGUCCUGGAAAUUACAAAUAAUCACGAAGGAAAAAUAGUUACCGAGUCCUGCAUUAAUGAAUCUUGUUGGAAACAAAUGGUCACAAGUAAAAAAUUCUGCAAGAGGUGCAAAGUUAGUUACCCUGCUUUGUUUGAAUUGUCAUAACCAGAUAGGUUGGCAGCUUUCUCCAAAGCAUCCCUCCACUUAAGCACCUUGUCCAUACAGUCCUUGAAACGUUCUUCAAGCUUGGCAAAUGCAACUGCAUAACUCCCCUGCUGUUUUCGUACAUCCUGUGGACUGAUGUCGUAAAAAUGGGUAUAACAAACUGUCCAUCCCUUUCCUUGCAUCCUAGUACAUGCACGAGUUCAUCCAGACACCAUGUGGAAGAAGCAUAGUUUUUUGAGAAAAUGAUCACCGAAAGCUUUGAUUUCCCAAUAGCUUCUAGAAGGGCAGGUCCGAUUUCAUCCCCUCUCUCAAGUUUGUAAUCUAUGUAGGUGUCAAGUUUCUUUCGAAGCAAAGCAGCAUGAAGGUGGCUGGUGAAAGAGUUGCGGGUGUCCUCACCUCUGAAACUAAGAAACACAUCAUACUUUCUUGGAGGUGACGAGAAAGCAGCAGCAGAGGAAGAGGAAGAAGCCAUACUAAUAACCUGCAAACCCCACAAUUUAUAAUUCAUAACCUGCAAUCCAUCCAUAUGUAUUUUUCAUAACCUGCAAAUCCAUCCGGAUCUAUUUCAUAACAUAUACACACAUAUGUCUAUUCAUAAGGGGUCCGUUUAACUAUGACAAAAUAUGAAAUUAUUUAAUAAUUAAGCCAAAAUCCCCUAUAUACAACUGACAUACAUCUCAGUUGGUUUAGAACGUUUACCCUUGAACGCACCCGAGGUCAUUGAAUUCGAAUCUCCUUCCCCAAUAUAAUCACUUCUAUCAACAAAAAAAGAAAAAAACAAUUUUUCUAUCUUGGUGGGUUUCAUAAACAUUCUGAGGGACCAAAAAGUCACCACAAAUUAACAGUUGCUAUACAAUAUAUAAGAAAUGUAAGAGAAGACAAUAAUUAUAUGGUAAUUAAUUCUCCGAGUGUAAUUAAGUCAGUGAGAGUACCUCUGAAUCAAGAAAGAAAUUGAUUAGCAAAUAUUAAGAUCUAGAGAGAUCUAACAUGAAAGACUGAUCGAGUUGAAGCUUCCCCAGAACCCUGAUGGAAAUAAUCCGGCAACUUGCAAGAGAGACCAUGUUGUUUCUAACUUUACUUGUGUAAUCAUACAUACGAAUUGCCGUCCUCCAAAGACUUUAUUUUUUAUUUUUUUUUGGUGGUAAAGUCCUUUCCGUAGAAAGGAACAAAAUUUUAUUCCAGCGUUAUUUUACAAAGCAAAUGCCCAUAUACACAUAAACAAAACAAACAAAGGCCGCCGAAGCUAGACACAAAACAAAAUAAAAUUCUGGAUUCCUUCUACCACCACUGCAAUGGUAUUUCCCAAUCAAUCCGAAUCGAUUUCCCCAGCAGACGCCAAAAAUCCUACCAAGCAGCACCAUAGAGAUUAAAUGGAGGAAAAUCUCAUCAUCCAGCCACAAUCAUCGUGCCAAUCUCAGCCAGAAAUUGAAAAAAGCCUAUGGAUUUACCACGAACAAAACUGCCAACAAAGGCGGACAAAGAUAAAGAGGUGGUGUUGUAAACACCUGAACCGGCAUGACCACCAGAACUCUACACACCCUCUCGAAUGAUCGCAACAAAUUACGUUGAAAACUGACUGCAGACUAGAAUGAAAUUGGUUAAGAAAGAUGGACGCCCGUGAGGUUUGAGGAACAGGUAAAUCGGGACAAGAUAACAAGGGGUAAAGGCAGCAAAAUGAACAAAAAGAUGAAACUUGGAGAAAAAGGAAAGAUCUUCCGCCGACCCCUGCCACAGCGAGGGCCGGUGCAGGUCACUGAAGCUGAUAUCGAAGUGUUCAAAGCAAACUAGAAGGGAUCUGAUUUCAAGAAGAAGGAUUUGAUUGAUCUUUACAGCCAGUGCAAGGGGAAUAUGAAUAGGUAUUAGCUUUAUUUAUCACUGCAUUUAUCUUUUGGUCAUUUGGAUUCCUGUUUCUGUUUGAUACUUGCAUACUGUUCUAUUCAAUUAUAGGUUCUGAUCCUAAACUCAAUUCACAGCGUUUCAAGGAAAUUCUUAUGAGGCAAUAGCUACAGGUGCACAUAUGUUUAUUAAGCUUCAGUUUCAUAGUGAAAUUUCUGGGAUAUAAUGUUUAUAUUUAUGUGAUUGAAGGAUUACAUGGAUUUCGAAUGAUUCAUUGGACAUAGUCAUUUUAGUUUCAGUUAUUACAUUACAUUUGCUCAUUUCGUGGAUUAUAUCUUUAUGUUAGAAACAAAUCUGAGCUUAUUGUUAAAAUAUGAAUUCAUUCUUUUAAAUCCUUAUUAUAUCUAAAUGAAGUCUCUGUCUCUUUUAUCUUUAAUAAAAAAGAAGAGAAAAUUCCAAUCCUUCUACCACAAAUUUAAGUCAAUGUUAGUAGGAAUCAAAUUUUUCUGAGUUCAGUCCUGGCUUGCAAACCAUGGCCAAUUGGUUCUUAAAUAUUUAAAAUAGAACCACAGGUGAUAAAAGGGGCCUUAUUUUGAAGAAGCUAAGAUCCCCUCAACCCUUACAAUCAAUAAAAGGACAUGAUAUGCAAGGUGAAAGAAUUGGCAAAAGUUCAAAGGUAAUAUUUCUUCUCUAACCACAAAACUACAUUCAACUUUGUAAAACACAUGUCCUUUAGUCCAUAUAUAUAAUCGUGUUUCCUUAAAUUUGUUCGAUGGCAUGAUUGUUUGAUCCUUUAUUAAAUAGUCAUCAAGAAAUGUUGAAAUUUUUAGUAGUAGUGAUUUCUUUUGAAUUUUUGUUAUUUUAUUUUCAAGCCCUGAAUUUUGUGAGAACCGUCUACUUUGUACAUACACCAGAUACUCCUGACAGUUCAAAUAAAUUAACUUCCCAAACACUGAUGUUUAGGUUUUUUUAUUGGUGCGAUGGCAAGUGCCUUCGCCCAUGAGCGGUAGGUCUCGGGUUCGAGACUUGGGAGCAGCCUCUCCAUAAAUGGGGUAAGGCUAGCCGACAUUCACCUCUCCCAGACCAUGCGUAAAGCGGGAGCCUUGUGCACUGGGUACGACCUUUUUUUAUAUGUAAUGCUACCAGUGAGUUCUAUAACUUUACUAAUAUUUAUUUGCAGUGCAAGUUAAAUUGUUGGUUUUCUGUUUGUCAAUGCAUUUGCUUUUUCUACUCUAUACCUUGCAUUAGAGGUUGCCAUGUCAAGUGAGUUCAAGUUCUGCUUAAUACACAGGGUUGUUUUUAAGGAAAACUAACGAAACGUCCAAAAAAACUUCUCUUUUAAUGAAAAGCCCUUUUUAAAGAUAUAGUGAAUAAUGACAGUUAAAGGUAAAAUUGUGGUUUUUCGUUAAAAACCAAAUAGUACCUGGAGUGUUUUUUAAAAAACUCCCUUGUUUGUAAGCUUAGACACCAAUUUGUAUGCUCUUCAUCAUGUCUUUUAUUUUGGUGGCAGUUAGGUGUCAUUAAUAUGAAGUGUGAGCUGGUUGAUCCACAUGCUCACUAAAGCAGCUGAGGGUAUUGAAAUCAGUUAAGUGUUAGAAUAUACAUUCAAUGGUUCAUGAUUGUGACACUUGUCACAAUCUUGUUGUAUUAGUUAGUUCGUACUAGUGUUGUAACUGCCUAUAUAAGGCAAGGUUGUUAGUUUACUUGAUUAAUAAGAAAGAUAUUCUACAGAAACUCCUUCUCUCUCUAUCUCUACUCUCUCUCUCUCUAGUUCUUGCAUUGUAUAGAAAGAUUAUAGAAAGAUAUAUUGACUAAUUCAUGAAGGUUAACAUGGUAUCACUCGCCAUUGAUGCUGACGCGUGAUCUUCGAUCCUUCUUGCUUCCGCUUCUUCCUCCUUCUUAUCUGUGAUAUUCUCUGAUUUUCUGAUUGGACUGAGUCGUCCUUGUGGUUUAUACGGUUUUGUUGUAGAUUUCAUUGUAAUAGAUUUCUGGUUUAAGUGUCCGAGAGCAGUGCUCAUCAAGUGUUUGUGAAAAUUCCUGACUGAAAUUCACGAAUCUGCAAUCUUGUGUAAACGAUGGUGACUGCAUCUCAACUUCAGUUACUUCAAUCUCCGGUUACGAAUCUUUAUUUCGUCGAUCUCGACCUCCGUUAAUGUCAAGCUUUGAUGACUCCAAUUACCUUAAUUGGCAUUUUCAGAUGCAACUCUUGCUGGAAAGCAAUGGUAUUAUGGGUUUUGUGGAUGGCUUGAAUCCUUGUCCGUCUCCAACUCUCUCACAAACUGGUGAAUCUGGUAUGAAUCCCUCUGUUUCUUUCUACUUCUACUGAGAAUGAUGCUUUUGUAAUUUGGAGAAUGCAUGAUAGGGCUAUAAUGCAAUUGAUUACUGCGACCCUAUCACCUGUGGCUAUGUCCUGUGCUAUUGGGAGUCAAAGUUCGAGAGAUCUUUGGACUCGUUUAAAGGAGCAAUUUUCUACUGUCUCCAAAACAAGUAUCUUUCAGAUGAAGUCGAACUUGCAGACAAUUAAAAAGGGGUCUGAUUCCAUUUCUGUUUAUCUCCAACGAAUUAAAAGAAGCUAGGGAUUAUUUGUCAGCUGCUGGAGUGUUCUUUCAGGAUGAGGAUAUUGUAAUAUUAGCUCUUAAUGGCUUGCCCUCUGAAUACAAUACCUUUCGUUGUGUCAUCCGAGGUCGUGAAAGUGUCAUUUCCUUGAAAGAUUUUAGGGCACAGUUACUUGCUGAAGAAGUCAUUGUUGAGAAUCAUUCGGCUGCACCCUUUAUGACUGCUAUGGUUGCUAAUUCUCAGUCUAAAAAUGCGUCAUCCUCGUCACAGUUGUUUAGCAAUACUCAUGGUCAAUCCCAAUUUGCCUCUGGCGGUUACAAGGUGUUCAAUGGGCAUAAAAAUAAGGGCAAAGGCAAGUAUCAGGGACACAGAUUCUUCAAUCCCAGACCUGUGUACUCAGGUCCAGCGCCUGUUUCAUCUUCUCAUGCAUCCGGUAUUCUUGGUCACUCUCCUAUAUCUUCCAUGGGGCCUUCAUCCACACCUUCGUUUCUUACCUGUCAGUUAUGUAACAGUGGUGGUCACACUGCUCCAUUUUGUGAUGCCAAGCCUCCUGACCGGCAUGGCUGUCAAAUUUGUGGGAAAACAAAUCAUUUGACUUGGUUUUGUUUCUACAAUGAUAAGGGACCUAAUUACAUUGGUUCUCCUCGGGUAUCACAUUCAUCUGGGUUUCCAUCUGCCCCUUCUAACCAUCACAUGCUGUCUCCUUCUUCUCAGUAUUCAUAUCAAGGGUUUCCACAGCCACAUACCCCUCAGCUACAGCAAUCUCCAAUGCAUGCUAUGCACACUAUGUUCAAUUCUACACCUCAAACUGCCACUCCUUCUGCACCUCCACAGGUUUGGCUGACUGAUUCAGGAGCAACCAAUCAUAUGACAGCUGACAUGAGCAACUUAUCCCUGGCCUCCCCUUAUCCGACCAAGAGACCAUACACACUGCCAAUGGUGAAGGUUUACAAGUCUCACAUAUUGGGAAUUCUAUCAUUCAUACUCCAGCACAACCAAUCAAAUUAAAUUCUGUGUUAUAUGUUCCUAAGCUAACACAAAAUUUAUUGUCAGUACAUAAGAUCUGCCUUGAUAAUAAUUGUUGGCUAAUCUUUGAUGCAUUUUGUUUUUGGAUUCAGGACAAGGCCACAGGGAGGAUUCUCUACAAAGGGUUGUGUAGUAAUGGACUUUAUCCUAUUCAUUCCCUGUCCUAUCUCAACUCCGGCACUUCACACGGUCCUCUACCUGCAAAAGCUUUUCUGGGACAGCUUGUUAAAUCUCAGCUUUGGCACCAUAGGUUAGGUCAUCCAACCAACCAUGUGGUUUCUCUUAUGUUAAAUAAAGCCAAUAUCCAUAGUACUUCUUCUAAGUCCUCUGUUUUGUGUCAUCAUUGUCUUGAAGGCAAAUUCAGCAAAUUACCUUUUCCAAUUCAUGUCAAUAAGUCUGUUCAGCCUUUUGAAAUUGUGCACAGUGACUUAUGGGGUCCUGCACCUUGUGUUUCUGUUGAUGGUUACAAAUAUUAUGUAAUCUUCAUUGAUGAAUAUAGCAGACAUUGUUGGCUUUUUCCAUUGAUAAACAAAUCUGAUGUGUACUCUACCUUUCUUACAUUCUAUUCGUUUGUCUCUACUCAGUUCUCUACACAGAUUAAGAUUUUGCAAAGUGAUGGGGGGGGAGAGUUUAUGAGUCAUAGGCUUCAAUUUUUCUUGCGGACCAAAAGUAUUGUUCAUCAUAAGUCCUGUCCAUACACACUUGAACAAAAUGGGUUAGCUGAACGCAAACAUAGGCAUAUUAUAGAAACCACUGUGACAUUAUUGCAAACUGCUAAACUGCCACAUCAAUUUUGGUCUUAUGCUUGUCAAACUGCUACCUAUCUUAUUAAUAGGAUGCCAACUGCUAUUCUUCAACACAGGUCCCCAUUUGAAAUUUUAUUUGGGUGUGCAUGUUUCCCUUUGUUAAAACCAUUCAACAGCACCAAACUUCAACCCAAAACCACCAGAUGUGUUUUUUCUAGGCUAUGCUUCUUCGUAUAAGGGGUAUGUGUGUUAUGAUGUGCCUAAGCACCGGAUUUACAUUUCUCGGCAUGUUUUGUUUGAUGAACACCAGUUUCCUUAUGGAGACUUAUUGGCACAUUCCACUCUUCCUAACUCUAAUUCAUCAGUUAUUUCUUCAUCUUCCCUUCCCAUUGCCGUGGUCAAUACAAACAAUGUUAUUGUGUCUCCCUCACCAGUCUCUUCUCAUAUCCCGGCUAAUCCUCCUGCUUCUUCACCUCAUCCGCAGUCCAUUACUAGUACACCUGCAUUCUCCUCUCAGCUCCCUGUGGUUCCUGGUUCAAAUACUAUAAUAUGUCCUGACACCACUGAAUUUCAUCCUGAUUCUCUGCAACCUGUUCUGGAUAUUCCUCCAAUCAAUUUGCAUCCAAUGCAAACUCGUAGCAAAAGUGGUAUUUUUAAGAAGAAGGCUCUCCUAGCACUUGUUCAAGAUUCUGAGGGGAUUGAUUUGUCUCAAAUUGAACCAAGCACUUAUAAGUCGGCUCUUAAAAGUCCUAUAUGGUUCAAGGCCAUGCAAGAAGAAUUGGAUGCUCUCAAAGCUCAGGGUACUUGGACUCUAGUUUCUUUGCCAUCUACUAAGAAUCUUGUUGGCUGCAAGUGGAUCUUCAAAAUCAAACGACACUCUGAUGGAUCUAUUGCUCGACAUAAAGCUCGUUUGGUAGCAAAGGGGUUUAGUCAAGAACCUGGUUUGGAUUAUGGUGAGACUUUUAGCCCUGUGGUUAAACCCACUACUGUGAGAUUAGUACUUGCUCUUGCUGCAAACUUUGGUUGGGAUCUUCGACAAUUGGAUGUUAAAAACGCAUUCUUACAUGGGUUUUUGGAAGAAGAUGUUUAUAUGACCCAACCACCUGGUUUUCAAGAUCCUAUUACUCCUCAUUUAGUAUGCAAACUUCAUAAAUCCCUCUAUGGCUUGAAGCAAGCUCCUAGAGCCUGGAAUGAUCGAUUUACAAAGUUUUUGCCUACAUUGGGAUUUGUUACUACAUAUGCAGAUUCUUCUUUGUUUGUCAAACAUGUUGGCAAUUCAGUUGUGAUCCUUCUGCUUUAUGUGGAUGAUAUAAUCAUCACUGGGAAUGCUACAUCUUCAAUCUCACAGGUUAUCCGUGCUUUGACUGCUGAGUUCGAUAUCAAAGAUCUCGGACCCUUACAUUUUUUCUUGGGCAUUCAGAUUUCCAAGACUCCCAGUGGCUUGUUUCUGUCCCAAACUAAAUAUAUUCAUGAUUUGUUAGUCAAGACUGACAUGCUUGAAGCCAAGGCCUGUGACACACCAUGCCUUCCUUAUAGUCGACUUCUCAAAGAUGAUGGUGAUCCUUAUGCUCAACCUGCUGUUUAUAGAAGUAUUGUGGGAGCUUUGCAGUAUCUCACAUUCACCCGGCCUGACAUUGCAUUUUCAGUGCAUCAGGUAUGCCAAUUUAUGCAGCAGCCUAUGGUAGCUCAUUAUACUGCUGUCAAACGCAUUCUCAGGUACUUAAAAGGUACUAUGACUGUGGGGGUUACUUAUUCUCGUGGAGAUCUUCACCUCAAGGCAUUUAGUGAUGCCGAUUGGGCAGGUGAUCCCAAUGACAGACGGUCCACUACGGGGUUGGUUGUGUUUUUAGGUUCCAAUCCCAUCUCUUGGUCCUCCAAGAAACAACAAACCGUGUCUAGAUCAUCUACUGAAGCAGAAUAUCGAGCUCUUUCUUCCACUUCUGCCGAACUGGAUUGGAUUCAGCAACUCCUUGCAUUUCUGCAUCUUCCCAUGACUAUACCUCCGGUUCUUUUCUGUGAUAACUUGUCUGCCAUUGCUCUGUCCUUUAAUCCUGUACAACAUCAGAAGACUAAGCAUAUUGAAAUUGAUGUCCACUUUGUUCGCGAACGGGUAGCCAAGAAACAGUUGACAGUGCAAUUUGUUUCGUCUCAAGAACAGUUUGCUGAUAUUUUGACUAAAGGUUUAAGUGGUCCUUUGUUUCGCACUCAUUGUCUCAAUCUCAUGCUUGGUUCCUCAAAGCAUGAGCUUGCGGGGGGAUGUUAGAAUAUACAUUCAAUGGUUCAUGAUUGUGACACUUGUCACAAUCUUGUUGUAUUAGUUAGUUCGUACUAGUGUUGUAACUGCCUAUAUAAGGCAAGGUUGUUAGUUUACUUGAUUAAUAAGAAAGAUAUUCUACAGAAACUCCUUCUCUCUCUAUCUCUACUCUCUCUCUCUCUAGUUCUUGCAUUGUAUAGAAAGAUUAUAGAAAGAUAUAUUGACUAAUUCAUGAAGGUUAACAUUAAGUAGAUGGCGUUUGUGGUUGACUGCUGGUGGGGAAUAGUAGAGGGACAUGCUCCACAGGAGUAUGAUUGGAAUGGAUACAAGAGGCUCUUUUCAGAUGGUGUGUGAGCUUAAGCUAAAGUGACAUGUCUGUUUUAUCUAAAUACGUUCUUUCAAUUGCAGAAGCUUUUUCCUCUCAGUGGGCAUAUAAACAACACAUGUGGUUAAUUGUUUUGCCAUCUUUGUGGUCAUUUUUAUUCUUUCCAUGCAUGUUUUUGGUAACAAUUUGACAACUGAUUGUAGAAACUUUUGUCUUUGUAUGUUGAUGCUGAUGCUUCUUAAUAGUGGUGGUGCCAUGCAUGUUCUUGGUUAAAUUAAUAGAAUACAUCCGUUAUUUGGAAUAGUUCUUUUCUAAAUUCGCAGGAAUUUUUUCAGUCGAGGAUAUUGUUGGAUACUUCUGCUAAUUGGAUGAUUUGGAUCAAUGAAAACGAUAGCCAGUGAUUAGGGGUAUCUUUUGGCAGGAUUACGAGUGUGUUCUCUUCUUAUUUCUGAAAUGCAGUUUGCAAAGGAGAAUCCAUUUGCCACUAAUCUACCGCAACUCAAAGUUAAAAAUCAAGAAGAGGUAACGGAAGAGGCAGUGACAACCACAUUACGAAGGUCUCUGAGUUUCUAUUCAACAAUCCAGGCACAUGACGAACAUUGGGCUGGAGAUUAUGGGGGUCCCAUGUUUCUGCUUCCUGGUUUGGUAAGGGAGAAAAGUAGUAAUCACCAUGUAGUCCAGAAGAUGUAAACACGGAGAAUCUGUAUAUCAUGGUUAAAUAUGAAAAUAAAUUUUGACAUUCCAAAAGAUGGCUGCAUUUUCAUUUCAGAACUUCACAGCCUUUCUUCUUAGUUAAAUGAAUUAACCAUGAUUGGUUUUUUCUUUAUUAUUUGGUCCAUUUGGUAAUUGUUGAGAGACCAAGUAUUAUUUACUAAUUGCAACAGAUCAUUGCGCUUUCAAUUACUGGAGGUCUGAAUGCAUGUGCAGAUAUCUCUAUAAUCAUCAGGUAAGAAUGCUUUUCAUGAAAUUAAUGCUUUUUAUGAAAGCUUUAAUUUUGGUAUAGAAAAAUGAAUAAAUUCACUCAUGAAUUGUUUUUGCAGAAUGAAGAUGGGGAAUGGGCUCUCUGCAUAUGGAGGGCCAAGUACCAUGUUUGUAAAUUGUUUUGAUUCUUUGUUGAACAUUAAGAAGUAUAUGAAUUUUGAUAUGGAUGAAAUUAUGUUUUAAUACAUUUAACACAAUUUUAAAACCCACGGCAUCGUGCUGCCUCAAUUUCUAGUUUAUAUAUACUAAAGCCGAAUGGGAAAAGCACUGUUCCAAUGUACAGUGAAGUGGCGAUAUUACCCCUUUUACUGGGCAAUAUUCUUCUUCUUUUCCUCACUUGCACAGUGAAUUGACCAGUUUGCCCAUCUUUCAUACGUGUUGCCCCAGUGAAUACGUGACUUACUCUCCUCAUUCCUCCUCCGCCUCUUUCUUACAGCACUGCUUCCGCUGCAGUUUGAACCGCUUCCUCUUUGCUUCACUUCCAACCGAAACCAAAAACAGCUCAACCAAAUCAAUUUCUAUCUCGCUCACCGCCUCUCUAUCUCACGCUCGCAAUCACUGCUAAGAACUCAAACCAAGAAAUCCAUUUCCACAAUUUCUCUUACAGUCACCGCUGCUCUCUCGCUCACCGCUUCAUCUUCAACAAAUCCAGCCGCAGCCCUUCGUCCUACACCCGGACUGCAACGUCGUCAUGACUCACCCCAGCAUCAGCAAAUUUCAACAUAAAAAGUGAUAUUCUUGUCAACAUAUUCGUAUAAAUUCGUUCAUGUACUUGAAAUUUUAUGUUUGCUUAGUGUAUGUUUUGAUAAUUAGAUCAUAUCAAGCUCCAUUCAUGCCCACUUCUAUUCCUAAGAGCCCGUCUUCUGUCAAUGGCGACAACGGAGGCUAAGCCUGAAGCCAAACCAGAACCAAAAGAAAUUGAAGAGAAUUCUGAACCUCUUCUCAAGUACAAGGUAAUUAAAACUUGAAAAAAAAAAUUAUGAGCACCAAUAACAAAGGAUUAUGACUUUCACAUGUUUAUAACAUCUUCUAAUUCUGUCCUAAAAUUGAAAUUAUGAAUCCUUAUAAACAAUCCUCAGGGAAGACAUCUUCCCGAUAUUCUUCGCCACAGGCCGUUGUAUUGAAGCUGGAAGAUGGGAGGGGUCUUCUCCUCCCCUCACAAUCUGAAAAUGCCUCUCUCAAUCGAAUAAAGAGUGAACACUGCCAAUUUUUUUAUAACUACUAACUUGUAACUUAUGUACAUAAAUUUAGCUUCCAAACAUCUCUAUCUUUUGAACAGUGAGCAAUUGAACACUCUCAAUCUUUUGAUAACUAUGAACACUGCCAAUUUCUAUAAAUCUAGCUUCAAUAAUUUAUGCUUUCUGUAUGUAUGUAUUAUCAAAAUAUUUUAAGCACCCGCAGCAACGCGAGGCACUUUUGCUAAUGAUUAUUAUGAAACAAAUUAUUAUAGGAGAAGAUAAGAUAAGACUACAUGAUCUGUGAAUUAAAUGAUAAAUGAAAUAUUAAAAAUUAAUAAAAAAAAUGUUUGAUCAAAAGCCUUAAAUCUAUAACAAUUAGUACCACAAUGCCAAACCCAUAAUAUAAAUUGUUUAAAACCAAAAACAAAACAAAAAAAGCCAAAAGCUAUAGAUGUUUGAUAUAAAAAAUUCAAAAUCGAACCACCUAUAACAAAACGCCUCUUAUAAAUUACUUGGAGGCCAAAGCGUUACAACAACAAAGACUAAUACAAGAAAUCCCUCGGCCACAAGGCUUACAAAUAGCUUAAAAGAUGAGAAUACAAACAAUAAGGAGAGCUCAAAUUUUUAAUUUUUCAUUUCUAACUUUUUUUUGGGCUACUCCAACCUGUAGUUCCUCUCGACUUGAUGGUCUCGACAUCUUGAGCAUACAGCAGGCUGAUCCCACACUUUUUCACCUUUGAUCCCACAACGUUGAACUCAAAACAGGCCUUGGUGACAAGUUUGUAAAAAGAAGUGGAGCGAUUUAAAUUUGCUCCCUCUCCAAGUGCAAGCGCACUAUACCACACAAAUAUGUGACCGAAGUCCGAAUAAGUAAUCACUCUCUCUCCUUCAUUAAAAGGACAAUGGGAAGGAUAAAUGGUUUUAUGACUUUCACCACUAAUAGUUUUAAAAUUGCACGAGCAUCCAAACAUCAGAUCUUUAUGAUAAGUAUAUUUAUGGAGAACAACAGACUGAGAAAAACCCAAAAAAUCUGUACAAUACCAAUUUCGAGGAAGCUUGAUAGUUAUCGAAGAUCCUUCAUUUUGAUGGCAGAACCAAUUUGGAAUUUCAUUUCCUGCACAUACAGUGCUAACUGAAGUCCGAGCAGAGACGGUGCUACCUAAAGUCCGAAAGAGGUAGGGAUAAAUGAAGUCAUUUCCUGUAACAUCGAUGCAUGGAAAUCAAAUAAAUUAUUCAACACGUGAAAAAAUGGCAUAAAGGAGAUAUGAAAGUGUGUGCUAGUAGACACUUUUGCUUCCAAUGAUGUAGGAAAUGGCAAUAGUAGACAGUGUUGCAAUGAGCAGCUGCAUAAGUGCACGAUCGUGCAUUUUGUUGUGCCUUAGUCUGUUCAUUAGUGCGGAAACAAGAUUCAGAUUACAACCUCACCAAAAUCACACUCAGUUGAACAGAAUAAAAUACAAGAAAUAAAGACACCGAGAAAUUUACGAGGUUCGGCAAAAAAUCCUGCCUACGUCCCCGGAGAGAUAUUGCUCUUCACUAUGAGAAUAACAAUACAAGUACACAUGAGUUAAAUCAACAUAACUCAAUCCCAAAUCCCUUGCACACCCACUCAUAGAAUUUUCCCAAGAGCCUCACUCUACCCCAAGAGUUCUUUCACUAGAAUACUUUUCACUCUAGCUCUCUUGAUUUUCUCUCAACCCAUGUUCAACCUUUCCCAUGGAAGAGCCGAAUGCUCUGUCCACCUUGGAUGUUUUUCUGAUGCCUUCUCAGAAGAGAGCCGAAUGCUCUCUCUCUCUCUCUAAUGCCCUACUUCUGCCUUUAAACAAAGAAAAAUAAUAAUAAACACAAACAUAAUCAUGAUGCAUCAUGAUGCUCCUACUUUCUACUUUGUCUUUUGACCAAACUCAAAGCCACUCACGUGGCAUUCCAAUGGGAAACCAAAACAAAGACAAAGUGGAAACAAUCCCAAGCAAACAUGUCUUCCACUGUUUAUCCGAAAGUGCACCACAUUAUUUUUCCACUAAAUGCAAAGCAUGCACAAUUGCACAAAUCAUCCACUACCGAAAACACAUGGGUCACUUCAUUGUUGCCAGCUCAAAAAUAUGAGCCAAUCACAACAAUCUCCACCUUGGCGAAUACACCAUGCAAAAAUCCUUGCACCCAUCACCAAGGUCCAUUGGCCUUACGUACCAGCAUGCACACACUGAAUCCACCUCAUUGGUCUUGUUCCGAUUCAGUCACUGCCAAUGCAUGUGCAGCUGCUGCAAGCUAAAAAAUCACCAUUUAGCUUCAGACAGGAUCUCGACACAUCCUCGUCUCCUCCAGCAGUUUUUCCUCCUCUUCAUUGUUUGCAACCUGGAAACUAGUCAGCGCACCCGUUUCCAGCAACAACCCAUCGAGCCAGACAAAAUUCCCACACUUUCUCCUACCUCAGGACCAUCUCAUCACCUGUGAAUCCCAUAGCUCCACCUGCUACAAAACCCCUGCAACACUCGAGACUAAACAUCACCAGGAGAAGUGUUGCUUCGAGUACCUAGAGGACAUACUCAAAGUCUUCCGCCACAAACUUGCUACAACCCGGCCUUGCACUCGUAGCACUGUGGACUCUUGCCUCCGGAACCGGAUCUGAACUUGCUGUCUCUUUCAGAUCCUCUUUCCAAUUUUCUUCCACGAUUCCAACCUUUAAUAACUUAAGCAGUCUUGUGCCCACCAUUAUCCAUGGUCUCCUUUGUGUAUCAUUCCACACCAAAGAAGCUUGCACCUGCUCCAAACUUACUGUAACUUUCCAUGCAGUAAAGUUUCACAAGGUUCUCGUACGAAUCUGAAAGUGAGGGAAGAAGAAAGAGGCCUUUGUCUUCUUCCUCAACAUCAACUUUCGCAGUUGAUCUAAGCAUCCCUGAACACGGCUUCCAUUUCUUCAGGCUUCCAUUACUCUCCUAUACCAAGAGUAAAACCGCCUCUCCCAUUAAACUGCUCAACUGAAAAAUUCAUGGUGAACAACAAAUCUGGACCUCCAACGAACCAAAGCCUCCAACCUGGCUCUGAUACCAAUUGUUGUGCCUUGGUCCGUUCAUUAGUGCGGAAACAAGAUUCAGAUUACAACCUCACCAAAAUCACACUCAGUUGAACAUAAUAAAAUACAAGAAAUAAAGACACCGAGAAAUUUACGAGGUUCGGCAAAAAAUCCUGUCUACGUCCCCGGAGAGAUAUUGCUCUUCACUAUGAGAAUAACAGUACAAGUACACAUGAGUUAAAUCAACAUAACCCAAUCCCAAAUCCCUUGCACACCCACUCAUAGAAUUUUCCCAAGAGCCUCACUCUACCCCAAGAGUUCUUUCACUAGAAUACUUUUCACUCUAGCUCUCUUGAUUUUCUCUCAACCCAUGUUCAACCUUUCCCAUGGAAGAGCCGAAUGCUUUGUCCACCUUGGAUGUUUUUCUGAUGCCUUCUCAGGAGAGAGCCGAAUGCUCUCUCUCUCUUUAAUGCCCUACUUAUGCCUUUAAACAAAGAAAAAUAAUAAUAAACACAAACAUAAUCAUGAUGCAUCAUGAUGCUCCUACUUUCUACUUUGUCUUUUGACCAAACUCAAAGCUACUCACGCGGCAUUCCAAUGGGAAACCAAAACAAAGACAAAGUGGAAACAAUCCCAAGCAAACAUGUCUUCCACUGUUUAUCCGAAAGUGCACCACAUUAUUUUUCCACUAAAUGCAAAGCAUGCACAAUUGCACAAAUCAUCCACUACCGAAAACACAUGGGUCACUUCAUUGUUGCCAGCUCAAAAAUAUGAGCCAAUCACAACACAUUUUCCAAACCAAAUAGUCAUAUUUUUCUACACCUUCAGUAAUUGAAUCAUUAUCGAAUCUUGGUGAGCAUUUUCUUGAACCAUCAAUGAAACCCGUAAUUCCAUGACUUUCCAGAAGUAACUUUAUCUGAAAACUUCAAGUGAGAUAGUUGGAGUCAUCAAGUUUCCCUGUAACAGAAGUAGACACUGUUGAGAAAAGGCUUGUGAUCGGAGAUUGUACAAUCUGCAACUGAGCGACAAUAACCAUUUUGAGAAAUCUGAAGAAAUCUUUCAUUGGAGCUUUUGGUCAAGCAGUUGGUAGGCAGAAGAGAAGAAACCAAUUUUUUGAGUAAUUGGUAUAUAUGUCGAUCCCAGUUUAUCACAGAGAAUAGCAAAUUAGAGGGUAGAGAAGAGAAAAGAAUGUUUAAAGAUUGAGCGGAAGCACCGGACCGUCCGACGAUGAUACCAUAUGAAGAUCAAAGAAAUCUUGAAGAAUUCAGUUGAAUAAAUGCAGAGAAUCAGAGAGAGAGCCCGAGAGUUUUAGAAUUGGGAAUUGCUUUUCUUGAUUGUCUAAGUGAUGAAGUACUCACCUUAACGAAAAAUCAUAUUGUUACACUAAAAAAUUAAUCUUUGUACUAUUCAUUUUAUCAUUUAUUUUGUCCUUAUCGUUAAAAUUUAAAGUUUUCCAGUUAUUUUUAUUAGUUUUUUUUUAAUAAAUUUCACAUAACUACCUAUCUCAUCUAUUGACAAGUGGCAAUAGCUUGUCCUUUGAUUUCUUCUUCACUUGGAUCAUUGAAUUCUCGGCUUGGAUCACUGUUUAGGUCUUUAUUACUCUACUCUUACACAACAAGAAAAAUAUUGUGCAUUGCUACUGUAUCCCAUGCGCGAAAAACUAUAUAAGGUUGUGUAACACAAUAAGACAUACAUAUGUGUUGAAUUUUUUAAAUCAAGAGUUAUAAAUUAGUAUGCAUCUGUUUGUAAACAAAUGUUUUUAAUGCAAAAGGUCAUACAUUUUGUGUAUUUUUUAAACUAAAUUAUAAAUUAAUGCAACUCGCGCGUGAUGGAAAAAAAAAGAUUGUAUGCAUCUAUUGAGCUUAACUCAAACAAAACAAUUAGAAUAGGUAUAUAUGUAUUUAAAAUUUGUAAGUAGUAACUAAGGUAUAAAAUAUUGAUGAUAUCGGAAAUAUCGGUAGUCCAAAAACACGGAAAUUUCGAUGGAAAUAUCGGGAUAUUAUCGAUAUCCAUAAAAAUUGAAUAAAAACCAUGGAAAUUAUAAGAAAAACUUGGAAAUUUUUAUUGAAACUUUGCAGGAUGUUUAUUUAGUCAAUUAUUUAUUAGUUUAUCACAAAAGAAUUGGAAGGAAAUGCAUUGCAUGAUGGAUUUAACUGAUUUAAAUUAAUUAUAUAGCGAGUUGACAAACAUUGUGAGUGUAGAAAAUAUGUAGUAAUUAAUGAAAGAAGUUUAAACACACCAUAAUCAUUUAUAUAUAAUGAAUUAGUACAAUAUUUUACACUAUAUACAUUGUAUGGUAUGAUACAUGAGUGACUUGAUACCACAUAGAGCUCCUAUCAAGGUCUAAAAUAUCGAUGAUAUCGGAAAUAUCGGUAGUCUAAAAACACAGAAAUUUCGAUGGAAUUAUCAGGAUAAUAUCAAUAUUUUAGACCUUGGUAGUAACUAAUGCGCAUGAUUGAUGAAAAGCCUUUCAAUUUAAAAAAAUAAAAAAAAAAUAAAAAAAAACAAAAGUCAAUAAAAAUAUUAGUUUUCUCCAAGUUCAAUACCACUUGCUAAAAUUGCUCGUAAUUGAUAUCUUUAAAAGAACAAAACACUAAUUUACUCGAUCAUAAUAUUGAAAAUAUUUUGUGAUCUUAAACAAAUUACGCCUAAUUUACACACCAACACAAGAGUUUUCAAAAUUACUUGGAGCGAAAGCGUUACAACAACAAAGACUUAAGCAAGGAAUCCCUUGGCCACAAGGCUCACAAACAGCUCAAUAUGAGAAUACAAGCAAUAAGAAAGAGCUCAAAUUCUUUAUAUUUCAUUUCUUGUCUUUUUUAUUUUUAGCUACUUCAACUUGUAGAUCCUCCCAACUUGAUGCGUUUCACAUCUUGGGCAUACAGCAGGCAGAUCCCACACUUUGUCACCCUACUCAGAAGGGCAAAUUCUUGAAGCAAAUGAUUUAUCACAGGGUAGAACUCAAAACAGGCCUCGGUGACAAGUUUGUAAAAAGAAGUGAAGCGAUUUAAAUUUGCUCCCGCCCCAAGUGCAAACGCACCAUACCACACAAGCAUGAAUUCGAACGGCAAAGGAGAAGGCUUCCUCUCUCUUUCAGUAAAAGGAAUAAAGGAAGGAUAAAUGAUUUCAUGACUUUCGCCACUAUUAGUUUUGAAAUUGCACUUGCAUACAAUCUUCAUGAAACCCAAAGAAAGGUAAAAAGGAAUGGCAUUGUUAGCGACAACAAGAGAGAAAGCAAAACCCAAAAAAUUUGUACCAUACCAAUCUGGAGGAAGCUUGAUAGUUAUCGAAGAUCCCUUAUUUUGAUGGCAGAACCAAUGUGGAAUUUGAUUUCCCACACAUAUAGUGCUAACUAAAGUCUCAUAAGAGAUUUCCUGUAACAUCGAUGCAUGGACAUCAAAUAAAUUAUUCAACACGUGAAAAAAUGGCAUGAGGGAGAUAUGAAAGUGUGUGUGUGUGUGCGUGCGUGCGUGCGUGUGUGCGUGUGUGUGUGAGAGAGAGAAAGACCCUGUUUUGGUGAUCAGCAAAAUGAAAACGCACUCGAAACCAUUCAUAUUUAUCCCAAGCUUGUGUGAGUGAAUUUCUUGAACUGGUAACUGUCUUCAGUGAAGUGCAGCCAUCUGCUUGAAGACAACGUAGCACUGGGAGCUCUGGUAAAAAUUUUAGACUUGUGCACCGUCCCAGAUUCAGACACCUAAGCUUGUCAAGAUCUUUAAAAUAGGAAGGAAUUCGAACCAAUUUUGUACAACCGUAAAGAUCUAUAUGCUCAAUUUUUGGACAGCGAGAGAGAUCUGGAACUUCAGUCAGACGCUUGCAAAAACUUAGUUCAAUCACUUUUAAGUUCCCAAGAUUCUGUAACAUGUUAAAGAGAAAUGGAAAGAAGAACAUUAUUUCCCCAGCAGACCAAAGGCCCAUGUACACAUAAACAAGGAACAAAAUUUUAUUGCAGCAUUAAUUUACAAACCAAAGGCCCAUAUACACAUAAACAAAACAAAUAGGGGCCACCCAAGCUAACCUAAAAGACUAACCUAAAAGAGCCCAACCAAGGGCCCAAAGCUAGAUACAGAAUAAAAGAAAAUUCUAGAUUCCUUCUACCACCACUGCAAUAGUAUUUCCCAAUCAAUCCGAAUCGAUUUCCCCAGCAGACGCAAAAAAUCCUACCAAGCAGCACCGUAGAGAUUAAAUGGAGGAAAAUCCCAUCAUCCAGCCACGUACACCGAGCCGAUCUCAACUAGAAAGUUGAAAAAAGCUUGUGGAUUUACCAAGAACAACACUGCCAACAAAGGUAGACAAAGAGAAGGAGGUGGUGUUUGUAAACACCUCAGUCGGUGCAACCACCAAAACUCUACGCACCCUCUCGAAUGAACGCAACAAAUUGCGUUGAAAACUAACUGCAGACCAGAAUGAUUGAUCGAGGAAGAUGGAAGCCCGUGAAGUUAGCAUGGGGUAAAGGCAGCAAAAUGAACAAAAAGACGAAACUUAGAGAAAAAGGAAAGAUCUUCCACCAACCCUUGCCACAGCGAGGGCCGACGGCGAUUAAUGCAAAAGGUCAUACAUUUUGUGUAUU